rnacentral:rRNA from 1 species
GUUUAAGGCCAUACCACCCUGAACGUGCCCAAUCUCAUCUGGUUUUGGAAGCCAAGCAGGGUUGGCCUGGAUAGUACUUAGACAAAUCUUCAGAAGAUACUACUCAGAGGCAAAAAGUC